rnacentral:piRNA from 1 species
UUCCCAACACCGUCCCCCUUU